GAGUUUGAUCGUGGCUCAGGACGAACGCUGGCGGCGUGCUUAACACAUGCAAGUCGAACGGAAAGGCCCUGCUUUUGUGGGGUGCUCGAGUGGCGAACGGGUGAGUAACACGUGAGUAACCUGCCCUUGACUUUGGGAUAACUUCAGGAAACUGGGGCUAAUACCGGAUAGGAGCUCCUGCUGCAUGGUGGGGGUUGGAAAGUUUCGGCGGUUGGGGAUGGACUCGCGGCUUAUCAGCUUGUUGGUGGGGUAGUGGCUUACCAAGGCUUUGACGGGUAGCCGGCCUGAGAGGGUGACCGGCCACAUUGGGACUGAGAUACGGCCCAGACUCCUACGGGAGGCAGCAGUGGGGAAUAUUGCACAAUGGGCGGAAGCCUGAUGCAGCAACGCCGCGUGCGGGAUGACGGCCUCGGUGUAACGCUUCGCUCGUGACGAAGCGUGAGUGACGGUAA
rnacentral:rRNA from 1 species